CCUACGGGGGGCUGCAGUGGGGAAUAUUGGACAAUGGGGGCAACCCUGAUCCAGCCAUGCCGCGUGUGUGAAGAAGGCCCUCGGGUUGUAAAGCACUUUCAGUGAGGAAGAACGCCUGGUGGUUAAUACCCAUCAGGAAAGACAUCACUCACAGAAGAAGCACCGGCUAACUCCGUGCCAGCAGCCGCGGUAAUACGGAGGGUGCGAGCGUUAAUCGGAAUUACUGGGCGUAAAGCGCGCGUAGGUGGCUUGAUAAGCCGGUUGUGAAAGCCCCGGGCUCAACCUGGGAACGGCAUCCGGAACUGUCAAGCUAGAGUGCAGUAGAGGAAGGUAGAAUUCCCGGUGUAUCGGUGAAAUGCGUAGAGAUCGGGAGGAAUACCAGUGGCGAAGGCGGCCUUCUGGACUGACACUGACACUGAGGUGCGAAAGCGUGGGUAGCAAACAGGAUUAGAUACCCUGGUAGUC
rnacentral:rRNA from 1 species